rnacentral:rRNA from 1 species
AUUGAACGCUGGCGGCAGGCCUAACACAUGCAAGUCGAACGGUAACAGGAAACAGCUUGCUGUUUCGCUGACGAGUGGCGGACGGGUGAGUAAUGUCUGGGAAACUGCCUGAUGGAGGGGGAUAACUACUGGAAACGGUAGCUAAUAACGCAUAACGUCGCAAGACCAAAGAGGGGGACCUUCGGGCCUCUUGCCAUCGGAUGUGCCCAGAUGGGAUUAGCUAGUAGGUGGGGUAACGGCUCACCUAGGCGACGAUCCCUAGCUGGUCUGAGAGGAUGACCAGCCACACUGGAACUGAGACACGGUCCAGACUCCUACGGGAGGCAGCAGUGGGGAAUAUUGCACAAUGGGCGCAAGCCUGAUGCAGCCAUGCCGCGUGUAUGAAGAAGGCCUUCGGGUUGUAAAGUACUUUCAGCGGGGAGGAAGGGAGUAAAGUUAAUACCUUGACUCAUUGACGUUACCCGCAGAAGAAGCACCGGCUAACUCCGUG